AGCACAUAAAUUAAAAAUAGCAUUUUUAUGUGGUCACAUAUAUAUCAACUAUUUAUUACAGUUCCAUAUAUCAUCAACCGAAAAAAAAAGAAAAGUGCUUUUAAUGUUAGCAAAUUUGAAAACAGAACAUGAUGAUGCUAGAAUAUCUAUUUUAAAUGCUUUGUAUUUAUUUUUAAAUAGAUCUAAAAUUAAAUCAUUAAAAGAAGAAUAUUUCCAUGUUAUUUUUAUUACCAUCUUAACAAAUUUCUCAAAUGAAACAAACCAUAAAUGUAAAAAAAUGUUUAUGUUUUUAUUAUCUUUGCUUUUUAAUAAAGUAAAUGAUAUUUAUUAUAUCUUUGAAUCAUAUCAAAUCAUAAAAAAACUGUUUUCCUACAAUUAUAUAAAAAAUUCAUUCAUAUAUACCUAUUUACAUAUCCUACCAUUAUAUACAUCCCUUUUUUAUAAACAUUGUGAAACCUAUUGUGACUUGAUAAAAAAAUUCGACUUAUACAUUAUGACUACAUUAGAAAUGAAUACAAAACAAAAACAUACUAGGUUAAUGUUAAAAAAAGAAUAUAAAAAAAUAAAUGAAAGAAAUGAUAUUACGAACGUACCUUUCUUGAUACAUAACUUAGCUGAAUGUACAGAUACAAAUAAAAAUGAUAUAUAUAAACACCUUUUAAACGAAUUGAUAAUGUUUUAUAAUGACAAUAAGAAGAAAACUAAGAAUGAAAGUAAAAAUAAAGCAAUAGACAUAUAUAAUAAUUUAACAAAUGUACUAAACCAAAGUAAUACUAUUACUGAUAAAACAGAAAACAUAAUGAAUCUUUUUAUUAAAAACCAAUUACAAGAUUUAUUUUUAAUAUUAAUGUUUUAUUUAAUUGGAACGAAUUAUCCUAUUAUCCAAACGAUUUUAAAAGAUAAUGAAUACUUUUAUACAUUUCUUACAUCUGAUAGUAACAUAUCCUAUUUCAGCAACAGAUAUGACAUUUAUAAAAAUAUGUUUACAAAAGAUUUUAUACAUUUAUUUUACAAAAGUAUAGAACGUGUUUUUUGUUUUAUAAAUAUAGAGUUAAUAGAUAGUUUGUUGAUGUAUGACCAGAUACAUGAUAUGUAUAAAUUUUAUUUAAGACGAGACAAAAUGGGUCGUGUGUCCUUCGUAAGAAAGUACAAAAUGGAUGAUGAUGAUGAUGAUGAUAAUGAUAGUACUAGCGCUAACUGCGAUUUACCUUGCUAUGAAAAAACAAAUAAUAAUGACAAUAAUAAGGAUAGUAGUAAGGAUAGUAGUAAUAAACUGUGUUUAUAUUUUUUAUAUUUUUGGAACCUUCUUUUACAUAACGGAUUAUACAAUACCAAUCCAUAUGUACAAAUAAUAUCCUUAAAAAUAAUAUUUAAUUAUAUAAAUAAAAAACUCACUGGUCAUUCCUUCCCCUUAUUAUUAAUUAAAUUAAACGGUACUGAUAAGUUUAUUAUUAAUAUUAUUAUUAAAAAACUUUUAUCAUUACUUUUAAAUUCUCAUUUUUUAGAACAUUUUUAUAUAUAUAAUGAAGAAAUUGCUCAAUAUAUUUCAAAUAUAUGUAAAUUGUUAAUUCAGUUUCCGUGGUUAACGAAUGGACAUGAGGAUGGAAAUGCGAUAAGCGAACUAAAUAAAGAAUUAUAUGAAAAGGAUAUAAAUAAAAUACCAUUGUCUUCAGUAAAAGAACUUAAUUAUAAUGAAAAAAUAGAUAUUAUUCAUACCACAAAUAUUAUUAAUAAGGGACAUAGUGAUAAUAACAGUACAAGUUAUCCCAAUGGAAAUGGUGAAAACGGUGAAAACGACAACGACGACAUUAACAAUAAUGAAGAAUUUAAAACUUUAAACAAAAUACUACAAAACGAACAAGGUGUCGAAUAUUUGGAAUACAUUCAUAAUACAUGCAAUAAUAAAAAUGAACAUAAUGAACAUAAUGAAUACAAACUUAGCAAAGAUUUUAAAAUAAAUAAAGAAAUAUUAUCCUAUAGUAAAUUUUUUUUAAUAAUUGUUACUUUAUCACGUGCAAUAAGCAUGCAUUUACAAAAUAAAAAUCAAUCAUUUACAAAAAUAAUAACAAUAUUAAAUGUUUAUAAAAAUAUAAUUAAUGACUUACCAUUAAAAAUAUGGAGUCCAAAAAACGGAAUAAUAUUAAGUGUUAUGACCCCUUUGUAUAAAGUAGCUUCCAUUUUUAAAAAAAGGUACAUAUAUGCACAUACAC
ensembl:lncRNA